rnacentral:rRNA from 1 species
GACGAACGCUGGCGGCGUGCCUAAUACAUGCAAGUAGAACGCACAGUUUAUACCGUAGCUUGCUACACCAUAGACUGUGAGUUGCGAACGGGUGAGUAACGCGUAGGUAACCUGCCUGGUAGCGGGGGAUAACUAUUGGAAACGAUAGCUAAUACCGCAUAAUUUAAUUAUUGCAUGAUAAUUAAUUGAAAGGUGCAAUUGCACCACUACCAGAUGGACCUGCGUUGUAUUAGCUAGUAGGUGAGGUAACGGCUCACCUAGGCGACGAUACAUAGCCGACCUGGGAGGGUGAUCGGCCACACUGGGACUGAGACACGGCCCAGACUCCUACGGGAGGCAGCAGUAGGGAAUCUUCGGCAAUGGACGAAAGUCUGACCGAGCAACGCCGCGUGAGUGAAGAAGGUUUUCGGAUCGUAAAGCUCUGUUGUAAGAGAAGAACGGGUGUGAGAGUGGAAAGUUCACACUGUGACGGUAUCUUACCAGAAAGGGACGGCUAACUACGUG